UACGUAGGGGGCAAGCGUUGUCCGGAUUUAUUGGGCGUAAAGCGCUCGCAGGUGGUUCGAUGCGUCGUGCGUGAAAGACCCCGGCUCAACUGGGGGGUGUCGUGCGAUACGGUCGGACUGGAGGCCAGUAGGGGGAUGCGGAAUUCCGGGUGUAGUGGUGGAAUGUGUAGAGAUCCGGGGGAACACCAGAGGCGAAGGCGGCGCGCUGGGCUGCACCUGACGCUGAACCACGAAAGCCAGGGUAGCGAACGGG
rnacentral:rRNA from 1 species